CUUGAACGCUGGCGGCAGGCCUAACACAUGCAAGUCGAACGAGUGGCGGACGGGUGAGUAAUGUCUGGGAAACUGCCCGAUGGAGGGGGAUAACUACUGGAAACGGUAGAUAAUACCGCAUACCAUCGGAUGUGCCCAGAUGGGAUUAGCUUGUAGGUGAGGUAACGGCUCACUUAGGCGACGAUCCCUAGCUGGUCUGAGAGGAUGACCAGCCACACUGGACGUGAGACACGGUCCAGACUCGUACGGGAGGCAGCAUGGGGGAAUAUUGCAAAAGGGGCGCAAGCCUGAUGCAGCCAUGCCGCGUGGAUGAAGAAGGCCUUCGGGUUGUAAAGUACGUUCAGAGGGGAGGCGUUACCCGCAGAAGAAGCACCGGCUAACUCCGUGCCAGCAGCCGCGGUAAUUC
rnacentral:rRNA from 1 species